AUUGUUAUUCAUACGGUAUGUAUUUACAAGAGUGAGCAUAAGAAGAUAAGAAAAAUAAUUGAAUAAUCCAAAUUAGGUUUAAUAGGUCUAUUAGCAAAGAAGUAUGAAGUAAUUUAAAAAGAUUCCACUUUACAAGCGACAAAACGUUUAUGCGUUCCAAUAAUAUAAUCCACAAAAUAAUGACAAAUGAUUACGUGGAGCUUUCAAAUUCUGCUUUUACAUGAAGACUAAACAAUAAGCCAAUCAUUUUAAUUUUGGGCUAAAAAAAUGUACCAACCAAUCAUUUCAAGGAUAGGGAAAUGAACAUGAUUUGUAAUUACGUCAUUAUACGCAUGAUAAUUAUGUGCAUUUUUUGUGUGACUUCUGUUUUUUGACCAAAAAUAAAUACCCGUUCAUUAAAAUCUCAAAGUCCCUAAAAUCUAAGUGAUGAUAUGUGAACAAACCUCACACAUCCAUAUUUAUAGCAAAAGCGGUAAAAUGGUCAUAAAUCCCACAAAAUAAA
rnacentral:lncRNA from 1 species